CCUACGGGUGGCAGCAGUGAGGAAUAUUGGUCAAUGGCCGCAAGCCUGAACCAGCCAAGUCGCGUGAAGGAUGACGGUCCUACGGAUUGUAAACCUCUUUUGUCCGGGAGCAACGCGCCUCACGUGUGGCGCUUUGCGAGUACCUUAUGAAAAAGCACCGGCUAAGUCCGUGCCAGCAGCCGCGGUAAUAGGGAGGAUGCGAGCGUUAUCCGGAUUUAUUGGGUUUAAAGGGUGCGGGGGCGGAAUGUCAAGUCUGCGGGAAAAUUUCGGGGCUCAACCCCGCCGUGCCGUGGGAACUGGCGUGCUUGAGUGCGCGGAAAGUAUGCGGAAUGCGUGGUGUAGCGGUGAAAUGCAUAGAUAUCACGAAGAACUCCGAUUGCGAAGGCAGCAUGCCGGCGCUGAACUGACGCUGAUGCACGAAAGCGUGGGUAUCGAACAGGAUUAGAUACCCGAGUAGUC
rnacentral:rRNA from 1 species